GCACGUCUGCCUGGGUGUCACGC
rnacentral:siRNA from 1 species